ensembl:lncRNA
UUUAAAAAAUGAAAUCUUUACAACUCCUCAGUUUUCUGACUGAAAGAAGUAGUCAUGCUGUUUUAUUCAAUUUUCUUGAGUGUGUCCACAUUCAAAAAGGAGACCGAAAUGGCUGCUAUCAAUGGUUUAAUAGUAACCAGAGAAAUCAUGAUACUCCAGAAAAUGUCACCUAACUGUUCUGCCAAAUGGUCCUUAAUUCUACUUCUGUGGCUUUUCAGGGAAAAGAUGCUGAGAGCUGAAGCCAAAACAAAACUUGAAGGUUUUGUCUAAGCUUCAUGUCAUGACCAAAGGUGAAGGAUCAAGAUGUAUUAUUCACUCCUGAGGUCUGUUAUUUAGGAGAUUUCUUUGUUGUUGAUGUGAAGGCUGCAGAUUAAACCACUACAAGGCAGUUCACCCAUGUGGGAGCUAUGUUAAUUAGAUAACCCAAGCACCAGAAUCUGUGUUGCUCAACACGAGUAUCUGCUGAAAUCCCACAUCUGUGGAGAACCGCUGCAGCUUCCUGUGAAGAUGCAGAUCAUUCCAAAACCACUGCUGUCAUCCAAGAUAACAAAAUCCAGUUACAUGUUUCAUUUGUCCCUCCCACACACCCAGGUGCUGUUGGGCACAUGUCUAUAAGUGUACACAGUAUUCUUGCAGACUGCUGAACAUUGUCUUUCUGACAGCAAUAAGUCUAAACCAAAGCCCUUACUCACAUCAGCCUCUGAUCAGAUCUCUAAAGCAGCAAGAUAGAAUUGCGUAGGGCUAAGACUGUAUUUCUGCUUUCUGCUAAGAAAGAAUGGACUCAAUAUGCAUCUCCUACUCUAGCUGCCUGCUGUGAAGCUGUGGAAGUCUUAAUGCUCCACAAGGAUCCUCCACUAUUUAGUGGUAUUAGGGGAAAAAAAAAUUUAAAAUUCUAGUUAAUGCCAGAAGACAGCUCCCAAAGGAACUCCGUGCCAGUGCAGCCAGAAACAAAUUUUUAUUCCAGUGUCAUCAUGGUGAGAAAUAUCAUUGCCCAAAAAAGUUUAGACUAAGUUAGUUAUUUGUUUAAGAAGAUAAAAUAGCAUUCACUAAAAAGUUUAUAUUUUAAAAGACAUGAUCUUUGCACUGGUGUAAGAAAUAUGAUAUUUCUGACCCAUGCUUUUUGAGGUGCAAUUUCAGAAUUGUAGUGCUAAGAUGAAUCUCCUUUGGUUUUGCUCUCCUCCUUUUCCCUGCCUCCUCCUUCUCAUAUCUGAAAGCACCCAGUUACUUUCUUCUUCAUUUUCUCAUAUAGGAAGCACAGAGAAAAAGGAAGACCUCCUUAAAGAUUUUGGUCCAUAUCUCUUCUGAAGCAAAGUGUUUAGGAACUAAAAAUACACUGCUUUUAAUUUUAAAUGGGAUUCACUUAAGUUUAAAAGAAGUUUUUGGUUGAAUUCACACAAUUUUGAAAGAAAUAAGUCUGGGAUACCAUAUUCUAUAAUGGUGUCAGCAGAAGCUGAGUGACUCUAAAGAUAUGUGAUACUGGCUGAAGCUGCCUGUGACACCAAUAUACCAGGGGAGAGGAGGCUACAAGGGAAGUAAGCACACUUGUUCCAUGUUUUGUUUGCUAUCACUGGAUCUUCACAUUAAUUGUUGGUUGUAGUCAGCCUUGAAACUUGCUCUCCAAUUGCCAAAGUAAUGCUUCAUAUGAGAAGUAGAGGGCUGCUCUCCACAAAGGAGACUGCAGUCGAUAUUUAUUUUGCAGUAUGAUACUUGAAUUUUUUUUGCAAUAGGAUACUUAACAUUCUUACUUAGCAUGUGUUUAAUAUUAACUACAUAUUUUCCUUUUAGCAUUAAAGUACUUAAGAAAAAACAUUGAAUCAGCAACCUAAAUGGAUUAGAUUAUCCCAUCCUAGCUUUAAAUCACAUUUGACAGAAACUCUAUAUCACUGUCAGAGAAUACAAUAAUUAUGGCAGAACUAAUUAUUUUCAUGUCUAAUUUCACCUUAUCACUAAGGUCUGACUUUUUCCUUUUGUUUUCUGUUACUCUUCACUCAGAUGUUUAACUCCAAGAUUCAUUGACGCGACUGGAAGGAUAGCUGAUCUUUCCUCUUCCUGCAACUAAUCCUGAUAGCAGACUGAAGAAAGCUUCCAUUUCAAGAGAUCGUGCAAGACAAUGUCUGUCUUCCUUAUGAAUUGUACUACUAAGCAACCCUGCCUCUUGCAAUGCAGGAUGUUCUAGGUAUGUUUUAGAGGAAAAAGAAACCAACAAACCACCAUCCACUUUAUCCUUUCCUAUUUUCUUUACUACAUCUCUGUGAAAUGAGAUGCAUACAGUGCCUCAAAUAAAAUGUAGCAUAUUUAAGAGAAUGGAGACUCAGUAUCUGCAAACACAAUAGCAGAUGAUACAAUUACAGUUAAAAUUUAAUUUUUUGGAGGGUGCAGUCAAUUAUGUUGAAGCUGAUAAAACUGGACAAUGGUAUUUUUGUUUACAUAAUAGGCAACAGUUACAUUUGUUCCCAAAACAAAUAUAAUAAUUAGUUUAAAUGGACAGUAUGGUCAGAAUUCAAGGGGGUGUGCUGUUGUUUAGGGAAGCAAAGUACUUUAGAAAUAUUAUGAUGUGUAAAGUAUCUGGAAAUUUGAUUGAAGCUAAUGCAUUCUCAAAGCUCUAAAACUUAGCUGGUUAUUUCUGUACUGGCAUAUGGAUUUAGGAACUAUACCUGGAGUCAUUUAAGGCCAGCAUAAAGAAGUCAAUAUUUCUCCUCAAACUUACACCAAGAAAUGUGUAAUGACAUAACUGUAUACAAAGACUAAUACUAAGUCCUCCUAACAGCAUUAAAACUUUGAAAUUUAUUUGCUGUGUAUGGGAAAAUCAAGGUGUGCUCUAUAUUCACCAAGAAUUUGGUUUAUAUAUUGGCAUCUCUCUAAAAUUAUUUUUCACAUACCACAAUCCAAUCAAAAAUUUUUUUUUUCAAUCCAUGCAAAUAAAAGCUGGACAGGUGUUCAGAUUUAAUGCACUGGGCUCUUUAGUAAAAGCUUUUGCAGAAAGAAAGGCUUAAAGAGGAAAUUUGAUAACUAAUGCACCAAAGUAAUAUUUAUAAGGCUUUUAUUUCCAGUGAAGAAAGAAUGCUAAAUGGUUUUUGGGAGAUUAAUUUUGAUUUUAGUUCCUGCAUGUAUGAAUGUAAUGUACAUCCUGUGGCUUGGAGUAACACAUAAUUAGUAACUAAGAACUGUGGACUUACUUAACAAAAUAGUAAAUUAUGGGCAUGACUGCCAAGAUGUGCAAAAAGUUUUGAGAAUUAGUAAUAGCACCUGUACAUUUUUUUUCAGUUAUAUGUGUGCAAUAAAAUAUCUGAAUAAAUAGUUAUUAAAUACAUGUUUAUUUAAUAUAAGUGUCUAGGAGCGAGCUACUGUGGUGUGGGCUUUCUUCUCCUAUGAAAACACAAUUUUGAGGUAUCUGGUAGAAUGGAGAUAAGGGAGGAAGAAAUUAAAAUCUUUGCCAUUGUUGUUGUCAUGCUAAAGACAACUGCAAAAUUUAUAUCACUUUCAUUACCUAGCCUUCAUGUCUUCUGUGAUUCUGUGAUCUCUAGGCAGGAUGGGCACCAUACACACACUGAAAAUGGAAUGGAUAACUAAUAUCACAUUAUAUGGUGAAGAAAUCAAAGAAUCAUCUGGGCUGAAAGGAAAAAGUAUGCUUCUUUAUGUGUACAUGAAUAAAUGUAUUUACUUCUGUAUUUAUGUGGCUAGGUAGCUCUGGCCUGAACAGCUGUAUUUUCAGGUAGUCAGGGUCUGAUGUAUUCCAGAUACUGUAGACUCCAGCUCCCAAGGAGCUGACAGCACUUUCUAAGUAGUCAUGCAGUUAAUGCACAAAGCAUAUAUUAGAAAAUAUAGGCAAACAUUUUCUUUUUUUAACUCCUAUAACUGCACCCACCGACUGCUUCUGAAAGGUGAGUAUGCACAUCUUUGCCACAGGUCAGCCAGGAGAUUUAAUUAGCAAAUACCUGUGUAUGGAAGGAACCUUGUGGAGAUAUCCAUUUUAGGAUUAUUUGCAGUCAUAGGGGAACCAGAUUUUGUUACUCUACCAAUAGCUGCAACAGCAAACUAGCUAGCUAGUUUUGGUAGAGAUUGCUACUAAUCUCCACCAAAGCACUCACACACUGUGUACAGUAUAUAAAGUUAUUUGACCUGUGUUCUUAAAUCAGGGAGGCAUGCAGGGUGAUAAAAUUAAUCAGUCCCUUCUUUCUUCUUAAAAGUGUUACCUAAUUUCAGAAAAAAAAUCCUAAUAUUGAAAUAGAAAAUUAAAACUAAAUAUUUUUUUAAAACUUCUAGGAUGUUAGCAGCCGGAGAAAGAGAGGAUCUAUUACUACACUGCUUGUGGAAGAGCCAUUUCAGUGGCAACACCCUUGCAAGAGCUGGAUCUGCAGACAGUUUCUAUUGGGCAACAAAUUUUAUGGCUUCUCCACUCAAGGAAAUGCUUAUUUGUCAGUAUUUGUGAAUUAUGUGGAGCAUGUUGAGUGAUAUGUUUGGAGAAAGGUGGAUAGGUUGGAGUUUGGGGUUUUGUUGGUUUUUUAAUUAGUUUUGUAGAGUAUUUAGGAUCUUUCCUCUCUCUCUCUCUCUCCCCCCCCCCCCCCCCCCCCCUCUCUCUCUCUCUCUCUCUCUCUCUCUCUCUCUUGUUUUUUAUUUUUCUAUAAGAAGACAGUGGGAUCAUCCUGACUGUUUUGGAAUCUUGCACCAACUUUCUUGCAAAGACACAUUUUAGUCUUUUAGACAAAAAGUAGUAACAACUUUUUUCUUAUUUGUAGCAAUCUAGCUAAAAACAGCUCUCUGAAGCUUGGUAAAGUCACCAGCCAUGCAGAUCCAGCGAGGCAUGAGCUGGAAGAGUGCUGAGGUUUAGAAGUGUCUGUCAGAGCUCCCAUUUGAUUAAGGUGACAUUCUGCAUCUAUUCAUCUGCAAGACCCAGCUAUGGCCAGAAGUCCCCUUCUUUCUUUGUAUCACAGCUAUACUAAAACUUACAAGUAUUUGUAAGGAAGAUCCAUACAUCACAAAAGGAUUUUCCAAUAUUAUUCUGUCUAAAUAGUAACAUACUUUUAAUCAACAUGGACUCCUCUCUUUCCUUUUCCAGCUUCAUCUGUUGCUACAAGCAUUUUUGUAUUUGCCUCUGUGGACUUCUCCGCAGAAGUUUGCCACUUGUUUAUAAUCUGGCUGCCUUCUCUCAGGGGGAAAUAACUGUGCAAGACUCUAAGGACAGAAGUUCUUCAGUGAGAGUUCCAAAGCAAAUACAGAAAUUGCAGAAACUCUCAGGAAUUUAGGAACAGAAGAAAAAUACCAAAGAUUAAAUAUUCAAAUAAAUUAAUUUUAGAAAUGCAUUAUUUGCAUCUUAAAUCUUGUAAACAAGUUGUCUACAUCAUUAGUUUUUUCUUUUGCUUUCUUAAUGCUAGAUAGAGUACAGCCUUCAAAUUUUUAUGGUCUUUGGUACCCAUCCAGGUCAGUUGCUGUGACCAAGGAAGUCAUAUUGGAUGUACAGAGAUACUUCAAACCUUCAAACCAACAUAAUAAGGAAAGGAAAACUACAUAAUGAGGAGCAUAGAAAUCCAGAGUCUUAAUAAAAGUUUUCAGAUUUUUUGCACAAUAACUUGAUAGAGCUGCAGAGGUUACUUUGAACAAAAGAUAUCAUGGGCCAAAGGCACUAUCUCAAUACAGAGUAAAAUUGUACAAAUAAAAUUAAUACUAUGACAUAUCAACCUUUUUUAACUAAAAUACCCCACCCAACUCAACUCAUCCUCCCCACAAAAAAAAACUCAACCAUGAAAAAAAACCAAGAAAGAAAGGCAGGAACUGUUGUGACAAAAGCUUUGGUUAUAUGAGACUUGUGUACUUCUUUGCUUAUCCUGUGUGACCCUGACUGCCAAGGUUGUGUCAAGGAUUUGCAGGCAAUGUAUCUGAAAGGUGAUGUCUUUUUGAAAUGUGAUAUGCAGAUCCUGCAUGCUUAGCAGAGAGCUGUCAAAAGAUUGCUGGUAGAAGUACUGGUAGGGCAGCAGGUGGCCUGUGAGCUUAGGGGUCCAGUCUAGAUUGAAACCUUGAAAUUCCAUUAUAGUUUCUCAUGGGUGAGUUUCCCCCAUGCUUUUAAACUUGCAUAGACUGAAAUGCAUUUGAGAGAGAGUAGGAAUUGUCUCACUGUGUUCAGUGACACCCUAAAUGCAAGACAACCCCAAUCUUUUCUAACCAGAGUAAAUUUAUCUUACGUUAUUGUGAUUACAGAUCUACAAUAUUCCUAAUAAAGAAAUAAAGUAAAUAGAGAAGAGUGUACUGCACCUAUUGAUUUCAAGAGCCUGUUGCUUUAUUAUGCUGCUUUCUAUUUAAUUCUGUGAUGGAUGUCACAUAGUUUGGAGCAGAGUGACCAAGGUAACUGCAAGAUUAACAUAUUUGUGUAAACAAAUGUGAUUUUGUAUACCUCAAACAAAAUCUGGAGAAGUACUCUUCUGUUACUGAAGUGAAGGAAAAGACCUAGUAAUGUAUAAACACCUUACAUUAAGUGAAGAAAAAAUAUAUUAAGGGGAAAAAGUAAGUUGCACUUAAAUAUCAGAAAGCAAAAGCACAGAACUUGAUAGGGCAGCUGGUGAAACUGCUGAUUUUUAAUUCUGGCUCCUUAUGGGAUUAGUCUCCCAAGUGCCAAAUUAUUCCAUUAUUUCUGGAAAAAAAUUUUUUGUUCAUUCUUUCUGUUAUAGAAGAACUUUUAAAGUAAUUAUCUUUUUCUUUCUUCUUUUAAAAAUGCUGUAGGCUAUUUUUUAAACACGUCUUUCUUUCCCACCAUACCAGACUGGGGACAGGACGAGCCCAGGACUAACUUCACAAGAGGUAUUUAAAAAUAGCAUUAAUUCUCAAACACUGUCUGGCAUUUGCAUCAUUGACCUGGUCUCUGUCUGGUUUACUUUCAAACCCCACCAGAAACAGCUUCAUGUUUUCUUGGCUAUGUUACACUUGCACAGUUGCCUGAUAGCAGAAGUUCAGACUGUCUCUGACUUACAGAGGAAGAAGAUAAGCACCAAGCUGCCCAGGGUUCUUCCCAGACAAUAAGACAAGAAAGAGGCUGUAGGAAAGUACGUGCUUACUACUUCCAACAAGGAUCUGAGCCCAGUUUUCCUGCUUUCUCAAGGAGAGUAUCCUGUCACUGAAAGAAUGAAGUUGAUGAAUGGGUAGCUAUUAUUGCAUGUACCUGGAAAGGAGGAGAAGAAAUCUGCUUACUGGUGCUUGCUCUAAGUGUCUUUAUACUUCAGUCCUCUGAGGACACAGAGAAAAUUAGGCAUCUAAACCUUCCAGAAAUAAAAAGUAUCUUUUUCCUACAAAUGUCAUUGCUACCCUGCUUUGGCAUUAAUUCAAAUGUUCCUCUCUCCUCACCUGCCUGAAAAUAAAAGGAAAUGUCUAUUUACAGGUGUGGGUGAUGUACAUCCAUGCCUGAUGGGUUAGAAAUCAAAUCUCAGUGAAAACAGUGGUAUUCCCUACAAAUUACUUUGGAUAAAUAACUUCAUUGUUCUCAGAGACUUCCAUUCCAUAUGAGACUUAUCUAGCAGAAAUGCCAGGGCUUACCACAUAAAAAUUUAUUUCUAUCAUGAUUUUUUGACAGUCAUCUUGGAAGUUAUUUGGAAGAAAAACACACAUGCAGGGAAGCUUCUGGCUCUCUUUAAGUGAAUUAAACAGAGUUGUGGGAAAAUGUUUCUUCAUUCACAAAAUCAAAUCACCACACUCUUUUCUGGGCUCAUUUGUGCAGCUGCUUUGUACCCAGUCGUGCUGCUCAGCCUUUUGCAUUUCUCAUGCACUCAGCUGAGCUGAGCCAGGACUGUUCAAAAAACUGUGAAACUUGAGAAGUGUGAGGCGUGCUACUCUGUGGCUCCUUGCAGAGCAAAUCACAUGAAUCACAGAGGGCAGAAUUUCAUACCCUGAAUUGUGUAUUCAAACACCACCAGUGAGUCUCUGGCCAUUUCAUACACACAUAAGAAAUAUUUUCUCCAAUUAUAUAUAUUUUUUUUUUGGUCUGUUAUGAAUAAUGUAUACUACAGCUGCAGAUCUCUGAGCAGAAACCUGAUGGAGAAGUAGAGGUUCACGAGCAAAAUGUUGGUAGCAAAGAGAUUCUCUUGUGCUGCUACCAGACACCAGACUCUUGCAUUGUCUGCAAAUAUGGCCUAUUUCCUUUCCAUGGCAGAUGUGGGCAUAAUCUUCAAGGGACAACCCAGAUGUAUCCAUAGACCACUAUUAGCGGGGCUGAGGAUCACACCCUCUCUGUCCUAUUUUUGCCUCUCUGAAAUUCAUUGCAAAAAUGUUUUGAAAAUCCUACAUGCUUUUUUGCCCAUCUCUCUUCUGUUUCCCUUCAACUGAAGAGUAUCUGUAAUUCUGGAAAUGCAUGUAUAUUCAUGCUGCUCUAUUACAGUAAUUGCUUCAAACUGAACGUAAGUACAACUGAAUUAAUAAAUGCAUUUUAAAGGCUAGAUAAAACAGCGUAGAAAGGCAGGAAAUAUAACCCUGAAUAUAUAAGCUCUGGAAAAGCAAUCUAUUUCUUAUGUUCAAUUUUUUUUUUCAUUUUAUGAACCUGAAAACUGAAAAAAAUAUGACCCAAAUUCCUACCACUGCGCUUUUGAUAACUGAACAUCUUCCUCUGUGUGUAGAUUGCAACUAAAAAGUCUGAAAGGAAAGAAACUCUUCCAGCUGUUCUUCCAUUAUUUUCCAAAGUAGCUUGGGAAAUCAUCAAAGAGCUUCUAUGCAUACCUGACUGGGGGUGAUGUCCUGAGCAACAGGCAACAGGCAGAGAUGUUUUCUGUCAGGUCUGCAGAACUGGCUGGGCAGCAGCGCCAGCUGAGCAGCCUCAGGUCAAUGUAAGGGUACUGAGCUCUACAGAAGGAAGUGCUUUCAAGUAUGUUGAAACCACUGGAAUUGUGAUGUGUUUGAUCCACCAUUAUUAGCCACAGUGACUGAAAGCUCUGUUUCAAAGAAAGGCAGUGAAACUAAGUGGUUUGCUAGCACAUUUCAGCCUUGGGACUGUUUUCUGAACUUGCAUGGUUAGGAGUGAAUCUACAAGACUUUUGUCUCAUAACCACGCAGCACAAGUGAGACUGAACUCCAGCCAACACAGACUGGACUAAUUGACAUCUCUUCUUUUGCUAUUUUUUCCUAUUUUUUUUUUUUUUUAAGUAGAUUUAAUUUUAACUAUGGAGAAGCCAAGAUUCCAAAUCUCAUUGCCAAACCAGAACACUUUUCUAAUGUUUAUGCCCCUUGAAUACUGAUAACUGGUGCUGGUGGAAUGUUGUUGGUUUCUAUCUAGAAAGCAGGUCAUUGUCAUACAGAGUCCUGCUGAGUGGCACAGCGCUGUCCUUGCCCACAGUGGAGAAGCAGACCCUGUGGUUUCUUCACAGUAGUAGUUUGUUCUUCACAUCAGUAGUUGUGAGCCUGUCCCAAUGAGUGACAGCUUAUCACAUUUUAGAUGUGAUAAGAAAAGCAAUUUUAAGUCUAUUAGAGCAUUUAAGAAACAGAGGAAUGUAGUGAUACAGUGGUGUGGGGGGAAGAACAGAGGUUAUAGUCUGCUGCCCCACUGAGGGGCCAUGGC